rnacentral:lncRNA from 1 species
AUUUGUGUUGCUUUCCUGGGCCUUCGGUGGCCAUUAAAGGAGCUAAGCCGAGGCGGACACGCAUCCAUACAUCUUUUCCAGAGAAAGGCCCGUCAUCGAGUGCCCUCUUUCCACAAUAUGGGCGUACAUACGUUCUAUCUUAAUUCAAACUCAAAUCCAUAAUAUUUUCUUACCUAAAUCUUAUAAUUAAUAGAUUUCUCUUACGUAACUCCAAAAUCUAAUUUAGAUUUCUCGUUUCUUGUAAUCUAACAGUUGGCCUUUAGCAUCGCCUCCUCUUCUUCCCAUCGAUGAUUGGUGCUGCGAAGAACAGGCAAACGGUAAAGACGACCGGAGUUCGAUGCUCGAAACGAACAAAAUAGGCGCCCGCAGUGCGGUCCGCCGCUGCACCCAUUAGCUCAAAAGCCACAGGCAGUAAUAAAGGCCAAGAAGAUAAAGCCACGUCGUACGACAACAACCCUUCUUCUUCUUCUUUCUUUGGAUCCUACAUGUGACAUAUAUACAUGUAUCUGUGGAGGAUGUGUUGUUCCUCGAGUUCUUAGCGUUGUUAUGACUCUUUGGAUCAAGCAAUGGGUAAUCGAG